UUGCUUUGGCAGCAUGUAUACUAAAACUGGAAUGAUACAGACAAAAUUAGCAUGGCCUCUGUGUGAGGAUGACAUGCAAAUUCGUGAAAUGUUCUAUAUUUUU
ensembl:snRNA U6 U6 spliceosomal RNA